UUUCUGUUCGUACGAAAAGUCGUACACGUUUCGUGAAGACAUGUCUGCAAGGUGUUUAAAUGCCAUUAAACCCAAAUCAAGCUUUAAACUGAAACAACUUGUCCGCUACAGUCCACAAUAAGCUGCCUCGACACUCGAAAGUCCGCAAUAUUGCACAACACUCGAAAGAAAGCACAUGGACGAACAUGGAGAUGACGUCGUUCGUCCCUGAAUAUUUUUUUGAGGGGGUUGAAUUGUUGUCCAUAGAUACAUACAGGAAAACUCGAUUUCCCUCCAUUGCCUGAUUAGAACUGCGUUCUGUCGAACGCAAAUAAAUAAAUAAAUAGGUAAAUCAGUAAAUUUGCAGUGGCACAUGCUACGGAGAGCGAGAUCUUCGUUCCUGUUCAGAUCGAAUUGUAAUUUAAAAGUGUUGGUUGGCAAGAAGGACAACCGGAGAACCCGGAGAAAAGCCCUCGGAACAAGGAGAGAACCAACAACAAACUCAACACACUUAUGACGCCUAGUCCACCUGCGAAUGUCCUCACAACAAUGCCACAGUGUCUUGAAUUAUUUCAAUUAGUGUCUUAAGGCUGACUGGCUUUAUAUCAAUGUAUAGUCCUCAGUGAGUUCUUUUCUGGGAUCCACUUCAAUUUUCUUGCGGGAUUUCUUGGAAGUUUGAACUUGACGCCCACUCAUAAUACAGUAAUGUACUAUAUAUAUUACCUGAUGAUCACGUGCUGCAGUCCACAAUAAGCUGCCUCAGACAAUUUAUGCCUGCAUAAAUUAUCGUAGUGAUAAAUGCUAAGCGAAGCAUUUUUGCCAGCCCGAACUGAGUAUAUGACCACAUUGGAUUGGAAGCUCAGAAAGGGGUCAAAGAACACUUGGCUCUUUUUAUUUCAUUGGGAUAAAAAGCUUGGGGCUUACCUGGUAUCAGAUCCCGGAAUACAAGACUUUACUCUAGCCUUAGUAGUCAGAAGUGAUUUGCACAGAUCAACAGGACAAUUCAACAAGAAUUGCUGUCUGU